rnacentral:rRNA from 1 species
AUACGGAGGAUGCGAGCGUUAUCCGGAUUUAUUGGGUUUAAAGGGAGCGUAGGUGGGAUAUUAAGUCAGCUGUGAAAGUUUGGGGCUCAACCUUAAAAUUGCAGUUGAUACUGGUUUCCUUGAGUACGGUACAGGUGGGCGGAAUUCGUUGUGUAGCGGUGAAAUGCAUAGAUAUCACGAAGAACUCCGAUCGCGAAGGCAGCUCACCGGGCCGGAACUGACACUGAUGCUCGAAAGUGCGGGUAUCAAACAGGAUUAGAUACCCUGGUAGUCCGCACAGUAAACGAUGAAUACUCGCUGUUUGCGAUACACGGUAAGCGGCCAAGCGAAAGCGUUAAGUAUUCCACCUGGGGAGUACGCCGGCAACGGUGAAACUCAAAGGAAUUGACG